rnacentral:rRNA from 1 species
GACGAACGCUGGCGGCGUGCUUAACACAUGCAAGUCGAACGGAAAGGCCCCUUUGGGGGUACUCGAGUGGCGAACGGGUGAGUAACACGUGAGUAACCUGCCCUUGACUUCGGGAUAACUUCAGGAAACUGGGGCUAAUACCGGAUAGGAAUCCUUGCUGCAUGGUGGGGGUUGGAAAGCUUCGGCGGUUUUGGAUCGAUUCGCGGGUUAUCAGCUUGCUGGUGGGGUAGUGGCUUACCAAGGCGUUGACGGGUAGCCGGCCUGAGCGGGCGACCGGCCACAUUGGGACUGAGAUACGGCCCAGACUCCUACGGGAGGCAGCAGUGGGGAAUAUUGCCCGAUGGGCGGAAGCCGGAUGCAGCAAGGCCGCGUGCGGGAUGACGGCCUUCGGGUUGUAAACCGCUUUCAGCAGGGGCGAAGCUUGUGGUGACGGUACCUGCAGAAGAAGCAACGGCUAACUACGUG